GGGGUGCAGCAGGCGCGAAACCUCUGCAAUAGGCGAAAGCCUGACAGGGUUACUCUGAGUGAUUUCCGUUAAGGAGAUCUUUUGGCACCUCUAAAAAUGGUGCAGAAUAAGGGGUGGGCAAGUCUGGUGUCAGCCGCCGCGGUAAUACCAGCACCCCGAGUGGUCGGGACGAUUAUUGGGCCUAAAGCAUCCGUAGCCGGUGCUGCAAGUCUUCCGUUAAAUCCACCUGCUCAACAGUUGGGCUGCGGGGGAUACUACAGCGCUAGGAGGCGGGAGAGGCAAGCGGUACUCAAUGGGUAGGGGUAAAAUCCGCUGAUCCAUUGAAGACCACCAGUGGCGAAGGCGGCUUGCCAGAACGCGCUCGACGGUGAGGGAUGAAAGCUGGGGGAGCAAACCGGAUUAGAUACCCGGGUAGUCCCAGCUGUAAACGAUGCAGACUCGGUGAUGGGUUGGCCUUGUGCCAACCCAAGUGCCGCAGGGAAGCCGUUAAGUCUGCCGCCUGGGGAGUACGGUCGCAAGACUGAAACUUAAAGGAAAUUGGCGGGG
rnacentral:rRNA from 1 species